rnacentral:rRNA from 1 species
GAUGAACGCUGGCGGCGUGCCUAAUACAUGCAAGUCGAACGAGGUGCCUUUGUAGCAAUACGAAGGUAUCCUAGUGGCGAACGGGUGAGUAACGCGUUGGUGACCUACCCCAAAGUGUGGGAUAACAGAUCGAAAGAUCUGCUAAUACCGCAUGUGGUCUUCGGAUUUAGAAACUGAUGACUAAAGGAGCAAUUCGCUUUGGGAGGGACCUGCGUCCCAUCAGCUAGUUGGUGAGGUAAUGGCUCACCAAGGCUACGACGGGUAGGGGACCUGAGAGGGUGGCCCCCCACAAUGGAACUGAAACACGGUCCAUACACCUACGGGUGGCAGCAGUAGGGAAUAUUGCACAAUGGGCGAAAGCCUGAUGCAGCAACGCCGCGUGUGCGAUGAAGGCCUUCGGGUCGUAAAGCACUUUUCUGAGGGAUGAGCAAGGACAGUACCUCAGGAAUAAGCUCGGCUAACUACGUGCCAGCAGCCGCGGUAAU